UUUUUUUUUUUUUUUUUUGACCAAGCCCAUGGCCUGGGUCAGGAAUUGGUCUCCAGCACAGCAGUGACAAUGCUGAGUACUUAAUUGCAAGUCCUCCAGGGAAUUCCUUGGGUACCUUUAACUCUUUUCUUGCUGAUUGCACGGCCAGCACUUCCAGCAUGACCCUAUAGGCGGUGGAGAGUACAGAGGUGUUGGCCUUGUCUCUGAUCUUAGAGGGAAGCAGCUGGUCCCCCCCGUCCCCACCGAGUGAGACACUUGCCCUUGGUUCCUCAGAGAUGCUCUUCAUCAGGUUGAACAAGUUUCGUCUAUUCCUAGUUUGAUGAGAAUUUUAAAUUUCAUGAUGUGUGUUUUCUACUACAGGAAGCUACAAAAAGCUAAGCAAAUAUGACUAAAAAAAUCAAAUUACAUUUAUUUUCAAUGAUAAAACAGUUCUACUUAAUCGUAAUGUUUUAUCCUUUUUUAUAAAUUGUUGGGUUUGAUUUGCUAAUAUUUCACUUCACUUCGAAUUAACAGUUUGUAAAGAAUUCUUUUGUCCCUGUUCACGUGUGAUACUGGUCAGUAGUUUUCAGAGAACUGGCCUCAGUCAUGUUGAUUCCUCUCAUUGAUCUCAUUCGUACGUUCAUCGCUUUCCUGCCUCUGAAAUGGCAUAUUUAGAAGGCAGUUUUAUAUAAAUUGAAGUCAUCAUUGUUGCAAAAGACAAAUUGCUAGCCACAAGUCCAGUUUUUAUUUUAUUUAGUAAAGAUCUUUUUUAAAGGUUUUAUUGAGGAGUUCCCAUCGUGGCUCAGUGGUUAACGAAUCCGACUAGGAACCACAAGGUCUCGGUCGGAUUCAUUAACCACUGAGCCACGACGGGAACUCCUGUAGUGUUCGUUUCUGCUGUACAACAGAGUGGUUCAGUUAUACGUAUACACACAUCCAUUCUUUCUCAGAUUCUUUUCCCAUAUAGAUUAUCACAGANNNNNNNNNNNNNNNNNNNNNNNNNNNNNNNNNNNNNNNNNNNNNNNNNUCCAUAUGCCAACAGUGUCCAUUUGCCAGUCCCAAACCUCCAGCCCCCUGCACCUGUCCCCUUUGGUAACCAUAUGUUUGUUUUUAAAUUCUAGUUUCUGUUUUGUAAAUAGGUUCAUUUGUCAUAUUUCAGAUUCCACAUAAAAGUGAUAUCAUAUGGUGUUUGUGUUUGUCUGACUUACUUCACUUAGCUUGAUCAUCUCUAGGUUAGUCCGUGUUGCUGCCAAUGGCAUUAUUCCAUCCCUUUUUGAGUAGCUCUUACUCACAGCUGAGUAGUAGUCCACUUGUGUAUAUGUACCGUAUCUUCCUUAUCCAUUCUGUCAGUGGAUGUUUAGGUUGCUUCCAUGGCUUAGCUGUUGUAAAUAUUGCUGCAGUGAACAUUGAGGUGCACGUACCUUUUCAAAUUAAGACUUUUUUUCUGGAUAUAUGCCCAGGUGUGGGAUUGGUGGAUCAUAUGGUCGUUCCAUUUUUAGUUUUCCACAGUGGUUGUACCAGUUUACAUCCCCACCAGCAGUAUAGGAGGGUUCCCCUUUCUCCACACCCUCUCCAGCAUUUAUUGUUUGUAGACUUUUUUCUUUUUUCCCUUUUGGCUGCCUGGUGGCAUCUCGAGUCCCUGGGAUGGGAUCAGUUCUGAGCCACAGUGGUGACCUGCGCUGCAGCUGUGACAACGCUGCAUCUUUAACCCACUAUGCCCAGCUGGGGAUUGUGGUUGUGUCCCAGUAGU
rnacentral:lncRNA from 1 species